GCACUGUUAGCUCAGCCGGACAGAGCGUUGCCCUCCGGAGGCAAAGGCCGCUGGUUCGACUCCAGCACAGUGCA
rnacentral:tRNA from 1 species